rnacentral:siRNA from 1 species
GAAGAAACGGCAAUGACCUGCUUC